rnacentral:rRNA from 1 species
CCUACGGGAGGCAGCAGUGGGGGAUAUUGCACAAUGGGGGGAACCCUGAUGCAGCGACGCCGCGUGGGUGAAGAAGCGCCUCGGCGCGUAAAGCCCUGUCAGCAGGGAAGAAAAUGACGGUACCUGAAGAAGAAGCCCCGGCUAACUACGUGCCAGCAGCCGCGGUAAUACGGAGGGGGCAAGCGUUAUCCGGAUUUACUGGGUGGAAAGGGGGCGCAGACGGCGAGGCAAGCCAGGAGUGAAAGCCCGGGGCCCAACCCCGGGACUGCUCUUGGAACUGCGUGGCUGGAGUGCAGGAGGGGCAGGCGGAAUGCCUGGUGUAGCGGUGAAAUGCGUAGAUAUCAGGAGGAACACCGGUGGCGAAGGCGGCCUGCUGGACUGCAACUGACGUUGAGGCCCGAAAGCGUGGGGAGCAAACAGGAUUAGAUACCCUGGUAGUC